rnacentral:rRNA from 1 species
CUCGUAGUUGGAUCUCGGUGCCGGUCUGGCGGUCCGCCUCGCCGCGGUCUCACUGCCAGUCCCGGAGCCAUCCCGCCGGCCUUCCCUCGGUGCUCUUUACCGAGUGUCUUGGGUGACCGGAACGUUUACUUUGAACAAAUUAGAGUGCUCCAAGCAGGCGCGUCCCGCCCGCAUAGCCCAGCAUGGAAUAAUGGAAUAGGACCUCGGUUCUAUUUUGUUGGUUUUCGGAACCCGAGGUAAUGAUUAAUAGGGACAGACGGGGGCAUUCGUAUUGCGACGCUAGAGGUGAAAUUCUUGGACCGUCGCAAGACGAACUACUGCGAAAGCAUUUGCCAAGAAUGUUUUCAUUAAUCAAGAACGAAAGUUAGAGGUUCGAAGGCGAUCACAUACCGCCCUAGUUCUAACCAUAAACGAUGCCGACCAGCGAUCCGCCGGAGUUCCUCCGAUGACUCGGCGGGCAGCUUCCGGGAAACC